GGACCCGCACAAGCGGUGGAGUAUGUGGCUUAAUUCGAUGCAACGCGAAGAACCUUACCUAGGCUUGACAUGUAUUGCUAAGCACGUGAAAGCGUGUGACUCUUCGGAGACCUUACACAGGUGCUGCAUGGCCGUCGUCAGCUCGUGUCGUGAGAUGUUUGGUUAAGUCCAGCAACGAGCGCAACCCCUGUGGAUAGUUGCCAGCACGUAAUGGUGGGGACUCUAUCCAGACUGCCCAGGUCAACUGGGAGGAAGGUGGGGAUGACGUCAGGUCAGUAUGGCCCUUACGCCUAGGGCUGCACACGUACUACAAUGCCCAGUACAAUGAGAACCGAUACCGCGAGGUGGAGGAAAUCUACAAAACUGGGCCCAGUUCGGAUUGGAGGCUGCAACUCGCCUCCAUGAAGUUGGAAUCGCUAGUAA
rnacentral:rRNA from 1 species